rnacentral:ncRNA from 2 species
CGACACCGAUUGGGGUGCGUCGCAUGGGCGGCGCUGAGAGCAUACCCAUCGAACCUGACGCGGUUUGCACCGCCGUAGGGAACUCGGGAGUCCACCAGC